rnacentral:rRNA from 1 species
AUUGAACGCUGGCGGCAGGCCUAACACAUGCAAGUCGAGUAGCGGCGGACGGGUGAGUAAUGUCUGGGAAACUGCCUGAUGGAGGGGGAUAACUACUGGAAACGGUAGCUAAUACCGCAUACCCUCAGAUGUUCCCAGAUGGGGUUAGCUGGUAGGGGGGGUAACGGCUCCCCUAGGCGACGAUCCCUAGCUGGUCUGAGAGGAUGACCAGCCACACGGGAACUGGAACACGGUCCAGACUCCUACGGGAGGCAGCAGUGGGGAAUAUUGCACAAUGGGCGCAAGCCUGAUGCAGCCAUGCCGCGUGUGUGAAGAAGGCCUUCGGGUUGUAAAGCACUUUCAGCGGGGAGGCGUUACCCGCAGAAGAAGCACCGGCUAACUCCGUGCCAGCAGCCGCGGUAAUAC